AGUGAACGCUGGCGGUAUGCCUAACACAUGCAAGUCGAACGGCAGCACAGUAAGAGCUUGCUCUUACGGUGGGCGAGUGGCGGACGGUUGAUGAAUACAUCGGAAUCUACUUUUUCGUGGGGGAUAACGUAGGGAAACUUACGCUAAUACCGCAUACGACCUACGGGGGAAAGCAGGGGAUCUUCUGACCUUGCUCGAUUGAAUGAGCCGAUGUCGGAUUAGCUAGUUGGCGGGGUAAAGGCCCACCAAGGCGACGAUCCGUAGCUGGUCUGAGAGGAUGAUCAGCCACACUGGAACUGAGACACGGUCCAGACUCCUACGGGAGGCAGCAGUGGGGAAUAUUGGACAAUGGGCGCAAGCCUGAUCCAGCCAUACCGCGUGGGUGAAGAAGGCCUUCGGGUUGUAAAGCCCUUUUGUUGGGAAAGAAAAGCAGCAGGUUAAUACCCCGCUGUUCUGACGGUACCCAAAGAAUAAGCACCGGCUAACUUCGUG
rnacentral:rRNA from 1 species